CUUAGCCCUUAACAAAGACAGCACAAAUACAAAGCUGUUCGCCAGAGAACUACAAGUGAAAAGCUUAAAACUCCAAGGACUUGGCGGUGCUCCAUAUCGCCCUAGAGGAGCCUGUCCUAUAAUCGAUACCCCCCGUUCCACCCUACCAUUUUUUGCAAGUCAGCUUAUAUACCGCCGUCGCCAGCUUACCUUGUGAAAGACCAAAAGUAAGCAGAAUAGCCACAAGCUAGUACGUCAGGUCAAGGUGUAGCACAUAAAAUGGAAGAGAUGGGCUACAUUUUCUUACACAGAUAAUACGAACACCACAGUGAAACCCGUGCUUGAAGGAGGAUUUAGCCGUAAGGCAAAUAAGAGUAUUUGCCUAAACCCCGCUCUGGAGCGCGCACACACCGCC
rnacentral:rRNA from 1 species